rnacentral:rRNA from 1 species
GACGUAGGGCGCGAGCGUUGUCCGGAUUUAUUGGGCGUAAAGAGCUCGUAGGCGGCUUGUCGCGUCGACUGUGAAAACCCGCGGCUCAACCGUGUGGUCUGCAGUCGAUACGGGCAGGCUAGAGUUCGGUGAGGGGAGACGUGGAAUUCCUGGUGUAGCGGUGAAAUGCGCAGAUAUCAGGAGGAACACCGGUGGCGAAGGCAGGUCUCUGGGCCACUACUGACGCUGAGAAGCGAAAGCAUGGGGAGCGAACAGG